AAAAAAUGCAAAAAGAAGUAGAGAAGAAUCGAGAAACAUGAGGAAAAAGAGAGAGAAAAGAGGGGAAGAGAAACAAUAACUAGAAUUGCAAAUAAACAGGUAAGGAGCAGCAACAUCGACGUGAAUAAGGUCGAAUUAUGCUUCUCGCUUGGGGUUGAUUCUUGACUGCAACAAGGUAACACCAAAUUGUAGUAGUUCAGGUUUAUGGAUUUUGUUUUCAUCAUUAUAGUUAUUGGUAGCAAUUAGACCUAAGAAGCAGGGCAAGCCCUAAGGAAGAAAGGAAAUGGGUUAAUUUGAUCAUGUGAACAAGAAUUUCAUCACAAAAUAAUUGGAAUUGUACGUGAUGGGCUGUGCAUAAUGAUGCCCAUAUAUAGCUAAAUACAGGUACUAAGGCAAGAGAUGGGUUAGUUCAACAAAGGUGAGUAGGGUUAUUAUGAAUAUAAGUCCACCAUUAAACAUUAGUAAAGGAGUGGAGAAACAACAGGAGAAUAUUUGGUUUAAACUUUGGAGACUUGUUAAGACAUUACUGAUGAAUUCUAUAUGAAAGAAAUUUAAUGGCUUAUUUUCAAUAAAGAAAUGAUAUGGGCAAGAUUAUGGUGAAUUAUAAUUUAAUUUUAUGGUGCUAGGUUGUUUUGCUUCAUUUUCAAAGUUAAACCAAUGCUUCAAAUUGUGAAGUAUUAUAUGGACAGAAAUUUAUAUACAUUGAAUAGAAACAGGAACGAGAAUGAGUUAAAGGAGUUUUGAUUAUGGAUUUGACCAAUUGUUAUUAAUUGGUACCUGCAACAAGAGAGAAAAGAAUGGGACUCUACUUUAAAUUCUUCUUUUACCUUCAAACAAAAAUAAUUAUUUUCAAUUAGAAAGUGACUGCAAUUGGAUAUUUCUUUGGUCCAUUGGCUAGGGGGUUGGAUUAAAUGGUUGCUAAUACGAAGAAAUGUUACAUUUUUUCAGGAAAUAUCGAGGUCAGGACACUUGGUGAUCGAAUUAGUCCUGUGAGUGGAAAAAUAUAAAUAUUUUUAAAGUAUUUAUAAAUUAAGUUUAUUGUUAAAGUAUGUGCAAUUAUAUGCAAUUAUGUGUUCGAAUUUCAUGAUUUUUACGGAAAUAUCUUUUAUUAUGAUACAUGUGGGAUUUCAAAGAUUGUAUAUGUUACAUUGUGAAUUGGAAUAUGAGAUAUGAUUUUGAGAUCGACCAGAAAAGUACCCGUGAUUAUAUAUUUCUUCUAGUUCACUGAGGGGCCUUGGCCGUGUUCUAUACUACACUAAGGGGUCAUGGACUGGGGAUGAAGGGGUCUCGACCGUGUACAUAUAGUUCACUGAGGGACCUUGACCGUGUUCUAGAAUUGAUUAUGAGAGGUCUUUGAGACCGACUUUCGUUCACGGAGGGGCCAAAGGCCCGUGGCGAAAGUUCUUAGCCCGAGGGGCGGAUUACAUAUUUCAGUCAGAGGGUACAUUUUUGGUGGAUUUUUCAGCACGUUUGAUGUGAUGAGAUUGUAGCAUGGUUAUCAACUGGUGUUUAUAUCAUGAUUUUGAGAUGAUAUUUUACGACCUUAUGUGAAUAUUUCACUUUUGGUUAUAAUUACAAGAUGUUAUCUUAUGAAUUAUGAAAUGAUAUGAACUUCAUUUUCGGUAGAAAUGUAAAAUUGAAAAAGUAUAAUUAUUUUUGAACUGCUCCACUCACUGAGUUAUCAACUCAUAUAUUUUCCCACGAUUUUUCCUACAGGUGGAAAUUGGUCAUUUUUAGCUGGAAGAGCCUAAUGAUUUCUGAAUGAGAGCCACACGACAUGUUGAAUAUUAUAACUCAUAUUGAUGAAGCACGGAGCAAAUAUUUUGGGCCCAUCGCAUUGUAUUUUACAUAAGCAUUUGGUUUUAUUGCAUUUUUUUGAAAUAACUCCUAGUUAGCCUUGGUGAUAGAUUUGAUAUCUAGUCAGCUUCUAUCAUCGGCGCACGUUACAUUUCGGGUCUAUUAGGGUGAUUCGGGACGGGUCGUGUCAAAAAUAAAUCAC
rnacentral:lncRNA from 1 species